rnacentral:rRNA from 1 species
GACGAACGCUGGCGGCGUGCUUAACACAUGCAAGUCGAACGCUGAAGCCCAGCAUUCUUGGUGACUUCGUGACCAACGAAUGGGUGACUCGCGCGUGGCCAACCCUUCUCUCUGCGGGGGACCUCAGGAGCAAAGGCUAGUACAUGCUAUAUCUUCUCUUCACAUGCUGGUGUGUAGAAAGAUAUAUUGGUUUUGGUUGCACUCGCGUCCUCUCAGCUUGUUGGUGAGGUUAUGUCUCACAAAGGCGCAGCAAGGUAGCCGGCCUGAGAGGGUGGCCGGCCACACUGGGCCUGAGAAACGGCCCAGACUGCUACGGGAGGCAGCAGUGGGGAACAUUGCAAAAUGGGCGGAAGCCGGAUGCAGCGACGCCGGGUGAGGGAUGACGGCCUUCGGGUUGGAAACCUCUUGCGGGUGGGAAGAAGCGAGAGUGACGGUAACUGCAGAAGAAGCGCCGGCUAACUACGUG